rnacentral:rRNA from 1 species
GACGAACGCUGGCGGCGUGGAUUAGGCAUGCAAGUCGAACGGUAUCAUCCUUUCGGGGGUGAGAGAGUGGCGAACUGGUGAGUAACACGUAGGUUAUCUACCCUCAAGACGGGGACAACCCAGGGAAACUUGGGCUAAUACCGGAUGUGAGCAACUUUUAGUUGUUUGAAAGGUGGCGUAAGCUGUCGCUUGGGGAUGAGCCUGCGUCCUAUUAGUUAGUUGGUGAGGUAACGGCUCACCUAGGCAAUGAUAGGUAGGCGGCCUUAACGGGUGGUCGCCCACACUGGGAUUGAGAUACGGCCCAGACUCCUACGGGAGGCAGCAGUCGAGAAUAGUCUACAAUGGUCGGAAGACUGAUAGUGCGACGCCGCGUGAACGAUGAAUCCCUUCGGGUGUAAAGUUCUUUUAUAUGUGAGCAGUGCUUCUUAUAUUAACAGUAUGGGGAGAGAGAUAUUAGCAUAUGAAUAAGCAACGGCUAACUCCGUGCCAGCAGCCGCGGUAAAA